GACCUUUUUGAGUUUCUCGUGGGAGGACGCCGAGUAAAACUACCAAGAUACCGGCGAGAACCUCAAGACAAUGAUAUUCCUUGGUGCUUGUUUAUGACUGAAAUACCCAAACCUAACAUUUCAUCCGGUUUUGCCUUCUGCAAGGAUAGGAGAGGAGGUAUUGAUGUCAUGGGCAGUGGUGAAGCUAACCUGACAUUGCCCAGGCAAACCACCAAAGGUCCUGGCCAAUGAUUUUUUGCCCACUAAAAGUUUUGAGUAACUAUUCUAGACGGUUGUAUAACUGAAACAGUGGAUUCUGGGCAGAGCCGGGGCAACUGCCCAGCCUUGCCGGGCUGAAUCUCCGCCACUGGUCAUGGGAUAUCAAAUUACUGGAUUGAUGUCAUGGGGUGCUUGAUAAACAGCAACAUGAACUUGAUCAGCUGUAGGAUAGUAGAUAUUGACUUUAAGUGAUGAACCUCUGGCUAUGGAGCUGAUUUUUCACCUUGGGGAAAUAUGCUGAAGGUCCAUUUAAUUUGCUCAUGUAGUUUAUUAUGCGCUUGAGGUAUCAAUGCUGUUAGCUAACUAAUGCAAUUAUGCUGUGUUGAUGAUUAUUACUGAACCUCUGACAAUUAUUCGUUUUCACUUUUUUAGCUCAUGGUUCUUUAAAUCAGACCAUCAAUGAUUCCUUGGCAUGAUAAUCUUGGAGCUCGCGCCUUAUUUCACUAUGUUAACUUAUUGCAAAUGUUGGAGCAGGAGCGGAACAAUACAUG